rnacentral:rRNA from 1 species
UAGAUAUGUUCUUUAAAUCUAAAGAACUUGGCGGUGUUUUAGUCUAUUUAGAGGAAUUUGUGCCGUUAUCGAUAGUCCUCGUUUUAUCUUGCUUUAUUUUGUUUAUCAGUAUGUAUACCGCCGUUAUCAGUUUAUUUUAUUAAAAUUUUAAAUUUACUUUAUUUAUUAUUUAAAUUUAUUUCAGGUCAAGGUGCAGUUAAUAGUAAAGUGGUAAUGAAUUACAAUAUUAUUUGAGUAGAAUGGAUUUAAGAUUUAAAAGUUUUAAUGAAGGUGGAUUUAAUUGUAAUUUUAUUUAUAAUAUUAUUUUGAUUUUAGCUCUAAAAUGAGUACACAUCGCCCGUCGCUCUA